rnacentral:rRNA from 1 species
AGCGAACGCUGGCGGCAGGCCUAACACAUGCAAGUCGAACGGCCUCUUCGGAGCUAGUGGCGGACGGGUGAGUAACACGUGGGAACGUGCCUUUAGGUUCGGAAUAAGCCCGGGAAACUGGGUCUAAUACCGGAUGUGCCCUUCGGGGGAAAGAUUUAUCGCCUUUAGAGCGGCCCGCGUCUGAUUAGCUAGUUGGUGGUGUAAUGGACCACCAAGGCGACGAUCAGUAGCUGGUCUGAGAGGAUGAUCAGCCACAUUGGGACUGAGACACGGCCCAAACUCCUACGGGAGGCAGCAGUGGGGAAUCUUGCGCAAUGGGCGAAAGCCUGACGCAGCCAUGCCGCGUGAAUGAUGAAGGUCUUAGGAUUGUAAAAUUCUUUCACCGGGGACGAUAAUGACGGUACCCGGAGAAGAAGCCCCGGCUAACUUCGUGCCAGCCGCCGCUGUAACAC